rnacentral:rRNA from 1 species
GACGAACCGUGCGAACGUUGUUCGGAAUCACUGGCUUAAAGGGCGCGUAGGCGGUCUGCCAAGUCCGGGGUGAAAGCCCCCAGCUCAACUGGGGAAGUGCCUUGGAUACUGGCGGACUCGAGGGAGGCAGGGGUUGUGGGAACUUCCGGUGGAGCGGUGAAAUGCGUUGAUAUCGGAAGGAACGCCGGUGGCGAAAGCGCACAACUGGUCCUCUUCUGACGCUGAGGCGCGAAAGCCAGGGGAGCAAACGGG